AUUGGAGCGGCUGAUAUCAGAUUAGCUUGUUGGUGAGGUAAAAGUUCAAAGGCGACGAUCUGUAGCUGGUUUGAGAGAACGACCAGCCACACUGGGACUGAGACACCCCAGACUCCUACGGGAGGCAGCAGUGGGGAAUUUUGGACAAUGGGCGAAAGCCUGAUAGCAAUGCCGCGUGCAGGAAGAAGGCCUUCGGGUUGUAAAACUGCUUUUGUACGGAACAACGGUCUGCCCUAAUACGGCGGGCUAAUGACGGUACCGUAAGAAUAAGCACCGGCUAUACGUGCCAGCAGCCGCGGUAAUACGUAGGGUGCGAGCGUUAAUCGGAAUUACUGGGCAAAGCGUGCGCAGGCGGUUAUGUAAGACAGUUGUGAAAUCCCCGGGCUCAACCUGGGAUGCAUCUGUGACUGCAUAGCUAGAGUACGGUAGAGGGGGAUGGAAUUCCGCGUGUAGCUGAAAUGCGUAGAUAUGCGGAGGAACACCGAUGGCGAAGGCAAUCCCCUGGACCUGUAGACGCUCAUGCACGAAAGCGUGGGGAGCAAGCAGGAUUAGAUACCCUGGUAGUCCACGCUAAACGAUGUCAACUGGUUGUUGGGUGCAUUAGUACUCAGUAACGAAGCUGACGCGU
rnacentral:rRNA from 1 species